GGGACAUUCUGACUAUGCAGGCCCCAAGGCCUCCCUGGAUUUUGUCUAAGGCUCUCUGUGCGGAAGGAGUUCCCAUAAUGCUCCCCGACCCCAGCGUGGUCCUGGAUCUCCUUUAGCCGAUGACACAAAGCAUUCAGUGAGUGAGUUCUGACAGACAGCAGUAAUGGUGACUCAGAGAGGCUAAGGCAAGGGGAGGGAAAAGGAAAGGAUUUCACCAGCUGAGGCUCAUGGGCACACCACGGGCCUCCUGUGCUUUGUAAACACUAAGGAGGAGAAAAGAUGAUCUGGAUUCUAAAGCUGCCUCUGACCCACACUGACUAUUUACCACGGGCAAGAUUCCUUAACCUCUCAGUGGGUCACUGGUUGAGGUUUAAAUGUCCAUCAGCAUGGCCAGAGGGCGUUUCCUUACUGAGGAGUUCCCCACACUGAUGAAAUCAUAAGCCUAGACUAAACACCCCCCCCAAACUUCUGAAAAAUUAGUACACAUGGCUCUAGGCCCCCUCACUGCUCUGGACACUGUGACCUGUGCUCUGGAAGAUUCUGCCAUGGAAGUCAACCCUGGAUCAUUGUAUGAAGGUCUUUAGGCAUGGAUUCCAGCUCCCAGCCUCUGGUGGUUCUCCAUUCUGUACUCAAGAAGUUCACAAAGUCGGAGCUGUCUUCAACCUACAGGCAAGAAAGAACUAAGAAUAGAGGCCCUUAUUCACCGGCCACAGAGCUGCCCUGGUGAGGAGAACCCGAGACCUCUCCCUUCCACAGGCUUAUGGUGUAUGUACCAGUCUCA